rnacentral:sRNA from 1 species
CAUGCCCCUUAUACGCUGGGCUACACACGUGCUACAAUGGGUAGUACAGAGAGUCGCAAAGCCGCGAGGUGGAGCUAAUCUCAGAAAACUAUUCUUAGUUCGGAUUGUACUCUGCAACUCGAGUACAUGAAGUUGGAAUCGCUAGUAAUCGCGAAUCAGCAAUGUCGCGGUGAAUACGUUCUCGGGUCUUGUACACACCGCCCGUCACACCACGAGAGUUGGUUGCACCUGAAGUAGCAGGCCUAACCGUAAGGAGGGAUGCUCCGAGGGUGUGAUUAGCGAUUGGGGUGAAGUCGUAACAAGGUAUCCGUACGGGAACGUGCGGAUGGAUCACCUCCUUUCUAAGGAGUAUAUGUCUUUCUCUAUUCUAUUGGUAAUGUUCUUAGAACAUUACACUGAACAUUGGAAACUAUAUAGUAGAACAAACAAGAAAAAAAUUAACUCUAACAAUUUCUUAGAGUUAGCUGUCAAAAAAAAUAGGUUAAAAUAAUUAAGGGCACACAAAGGAUGCCUAGGUAGUAAGAGCCGAUGAAGGACGUGGUAAGCUGCGAUAAGCCUAG